rnacentral:rRNA from 1 species
GAUGAACGCUGGCGGCGUGCCUAAUACAUGCAAGUAGAACGCUGAAGGAGGAGCUUGCUCUUCUGGAUGAGUUGCGAACGGGUGAGUAACGCGUAGGUAACCUGCCUGGUAGCGGGGGAUAACCAUUGGAAACGAUAGCUAAUACCGCAUGACAACAGUUAUUGCAUGAUAACUGUUUAAAAGGGGCAACUGCUCCACUACCAGAUGGACCUGCGUUGUAUUAGCUAGUUGGUGAGGUAACGGCUCACCAAGGCGACGAUACAUAGCCGACCUGAGAGGGGGAUCGGCCACACUGGGACUGGGACACGGCCCAGACUCCUACGGGAGGCAGCAGUAGGGAAUCUUCGGCAAUGGACGGAAGUCUGACCGAGCAACGCCGCGUGAGUGAAGAAGGUUUUCGGAUCGUAAAGCUCUGUUGUAAGAGAAGAACGAGUGUGAGAGUGGAAAGUUCACACUGUGACGGUAUCUUACCAGAAAGGGACGGCUAACUACGUG